CUAGCCUACCUCCUCCCAGAGUUUCCUGAAACAAUUCCUAGGACAAUACCAGCCCCAGUACCAGAGCCUAGGCAAAUGGAUUCCACUCAGGUCUCUCAUGAGGAACGCUCUGGCCGACUUGCGGCAGGACUCUGCCUCUAUUGUGCUGCUACUGAUCACUACAUUGGGGCCUGUCCUAUGAAACCCCCAUGUCCUGCAGUGAGUACCAUUCAGCUAAACCCAGAAAUGUUCAUGCUUUCAGUGAUUUCAGUGCAACUGGUCACCCCAGCAUGUUCUCUUACAGUCUCAGCUUUGGUCGACUCGGGCUCCUCGGGCAACUUCAUCUUGCAAGGCCUUCUAAGUCGUUUUCAGCUGCCUUGUUGCCAUCAUGCCCAGGAGCUCCAAACUGAUGACUAUCCUAAAAAUGCCACUAGGAUAUGGGCAUGUGAGAUAUAAGGCCCCUUACUUGAAACUCAAUAUUGGUAACUUCUAUGAGGAGGAAAUCACCUUUCUGGUACUGGAGGGACCCACGGUGGACAUCAACCUGGGAUGCACCUGGCUCAUCCUCCAUUCUCCAGAGAUCAGAUGGGACUCCUGUGAGGUUAAUUGCUAGAGCGAAUUCUGUCACUAACACUGCCUCACUAAACUUCUACGUCCACUCCACAAGCCCCCAGCUUCCCAGGUCACUUCCGUGCAUAUUGAAAUUCCUGAGCCAAGUAUAACUCCCUCAAUCCCAUCUGAUUAUGUGGCAUUCCAGGAUGUCUUUAGUAAGCAGGCAGCCUGAGUUUACCAGCUGUCCAUCCUGGAGUGCAAAGCUAUAGAGGUGUACAUUAAGGAUGCUCUUAACCAGUGAAUCAUCCAGCCGUCCAGCUAACCAGCGGCCUCAAGUUUCUUCUUCAUGGGUAAGAUGGACGGGGGCUUGUGGCCCUGUAUUGAUUAUGGAGCUUUGAAUUCCCAGAUGUUCAAACUCCCUUAACCACUUCCCCUGGUCCCUGUGGCUAUUGAGGAACUCUGUGGGGCCCGUAUCUUCUCUAAGCUGGACCUGCGAAGCGCAUAUAACCUUGUUUGCAUCCGGGAAGGCAAUGAAUGAAAGAUGGCCUUCAUUACCCCUUUGGGACACUAUGAGUACCUCAUUAUGCCGUAUGGCCCUGCCAAUGCCCCAUCAAUCUUCCAGGGGUUUACGAACAAGGCAUUCUGAGAGUUGCUCCACAAGUUCGUGAUCAUUUCCAUCAAUGACUUACACAUUUACUCCUGGAACCUGACUGACCAUUGCCACCACAUUAAGCAGGUCCUUCAGAGGGUACGUCAGCACCACCUGUACCUCAAGCUGGAGAAGUGCGAGUUCCACUGCUCCAUGGUGCAGUUCUUAGGCUACAUCAUCGGCCAGGAGAAAAUUCAGAUUGACCAGGGGAAGGUGACUGCCAUCACGUAGUGGCCCAUUCCCCAGUCUGUAAAUGGGGUUCAGAGGUACCUUGGAUUUGCUAAUUUCUAUAGGCAUUCAUCAAAGAUCUCAGUCUGCAUAGAGCCCCAUUGACCACCCUGCUCCGAGGAAAGCCCAAGUCCCUGUCCUGGAACUCCAGCACCCACAAAGCCUUUCAGAAUCUCAAGAACGCAUUUCGCAUGGCUCCCAUUCUUCAUCAUCCUGAUCCCCAUGUGCUGUUUGUGGUGGAAGUGGAUGCCUCCACCACAGGAGUUGGAGCUGUGCUUUCUCAGCAAAUUAGUGAGUCUCCACGCCUCCACCAUUGCUCAUACUGUUUACUAUUCCAAGAAACUGACCCCAGCGGAGUAGAACUACGAUAUCUGUAACAGGGAGCCGCUGGCCAUAAAACUGGCCCUAGAAGAGUGGCAGCAUUUGCUAGAGGGAAACAACCAUCAUUUCACUGUCAUCAGUGACCAUACAAACUCCAAUUUCUCUGUGAUGCCAAGAGACUCAAUCACUGGCAGGCCUGCUGGGCUCUAUUUUUCACCCAGCUUAAUUUCAUCAUCGACUACCACCCAGGAAACAGAAAUUGUAAAGCCGAUGCCCAAGCUCGUACUCCUACCCAUUCCUUGUCAGCCCUGAUCACACAUGGAAGUUGAUUUUGUAACCAACCUACCUGAAUCCAAUGGUAACAAAUGCAUCCUACUGGCAAUGGGUAAUUUCUCAAAAGCCUGCAAGUUAAUUAACCUACCUGGGUUACCAACAGCCCUGGAAACCACAGAACAACUGUUCACCCACGUCUUCAGGAACUUUGAAAACUUUGGACCAGUGUACCAUGACCCAGUGAAUUGUCUCUCAAUAUUCCAGAUUAUCACCUGCCAUUUGCUCCUAACAAUCCAAAUCCAAGUCUUUCAAUAAAUCACCUUGUUACUCCUCUG